rnacentral:snRNA from 1 species
CGCGGAUUACGGUGGCGGCCUAAGCCCGGG